rnacentral:rRNA from 1 species
UCGGGAAUUUUGCUCAAUGGGCGAAAGCCUGAAGCAGCAACGCCGCGUGAGGGAUGACGGCCUUCGGGUUGUAAACCUCUUUUCCAGGGAAGCGGUACCUGAGGAAUAAGCCACGGCUAACUACGUGCCAGCAGCCGCGGUAAUACGUAGGUGGCGAGCGUUAUCCGGAUUUACUGGGCGUAAAGAGCGCGCAGGCGGUCGUGCAAGUCGGAUGUGAAACCCCCCGGCUCAACUGGGGAAGGUCAUUCGAUACUGCUCGACUUGAAGGCGGGAGAGGGAAGCGGAAUUCCCGGUGUAGUGGUGAAAUGCGUAGAUAUCGGGAGGAACACCAGUGGCGAAGGCGGCUUUCUGGCCCGUUCUUGACGCUGAGGCGCGAAAGCUAGGGGAGCAAACGGG